rnacentral:rRNA from 1 species
GACGAACGCUGGCGGCGUGCCUAAUACAUGCAAGUCGAACGAAGCUGUUUUAACUGGUGCUUGCACCGACUUAAACAACUGAGUGGCGAACGGGUGAGUAACACGUGGGUAACCUGCCCCAAAGCGGGGGAUAACAUUUGGAAACAGAUGCUAAUACCGCAUAAUCACAGAAACCACAUGGUUUCUGUGUCAAAGAUGGUUUCGGCUAUCACUUUGGGAUGGACCCGCGGCGUAUUAGCUAGUUGGUAAGGUAAUGGCUUACCAAGGCAAUGAUACGUAGCCGAACUGAGAGGUUGAUCGGCCACAUUGGGACUGAGACACGGCCCAAACUCCUACGGGAGGCAGCAGUAGGGAAUCUUCCACAUUGGACGAAAGUCUGAUGGAGCAACGCCGCGUGAGUGAAGAAGGUUUUCGGAUCGUAAAACUCUGUUGUCAGAGAAGAACGUGUGCGAGAGUAACUGUUCGUGCAGUGACGGUAUCUGGCCAGAAAGCCACGGCUAACUACGUGCAGCCGCCGCUGUAA